CGUUAUAUGAGAUCACGAAAAAGGAAAGAAAACAACCAUUUUCAUUCAAACCAAAACUCAGACUCACAAUGAGUUGAGCAGCAUGGGCUAAUGAUCAGUUUUCACAGCAAGAGUUGGAUGGGGAGAUAAUAGAGCACUU